AGGCCUAACACAUGCAAGUCGAACGGUAACAGGGAGCUUGCUCCGCUGACGAGUGGCGAACGGGUGAGUAAUGUAUCGGAACGUACCAUUCAGUGGGGGAUAACGUAGCGAAAGUUACGCUAAUACCGCAUAUUCUGUGCGCAGGAAAGCAGGGGAUCGCAAGACCUUGCGCUGAUUGAGCGGCCGAUAUCAGAUUAGCUAGUUGGUGAGGUAAAAGCUCACCAAGGCGACGAUCUGUAGCGGGUCUGAGAGGAUGAUCCGCCACACUGGAACUGAGACACGGUCCAGACUCCUACGGGAGGCAGCAGUGGGGAAUUUUGGACAAUGGGGGCAACCCUGAUCCAGCCAUGCCGCGUGAGUNAAGAGGGCCUUCGGGUUGUAAAGCUCUUUCAGCCGGGAAGAAAAUGCAUGGGUUAAUACCCUGUGCAGAUGACGGUACCGGAAUAAGAAGCACCGGCUAACUACGUGCCAGCAGCCGCGGUAAUACGUAGGGUGCGAGCGUUAAUCGGAAUUACUGGGCGUAAAGCGUGCGCAGGCGGUUUUGUAAGACAGGCGUGAAAUCCCCGGGCUUAACCUGGGAACUGCGUUUGUGACUGCAAGGCUAGAAUACGGCAGAGGGGGGUGGAAUUCCACGUGUAGCAGUGAAAUGCGUAGAGAUGUGGAGGAACACCAAUGGCGAAGGCAGCCCCCUGGGUCGAUACUGACGCUCAUGCACGAAAGCGUGGGUAGCAAACAGGAUUAGAUACCCUGGUAGUCCACGCCCUAAACGAUGUCAACUAGGUGUUGGGAGGGUAAAACCUUUUAGUACCGUAGCUAACGCGAGAAGUUGACCGCCUGGGGAGUACGGCCGCAAGGUUAAAACUCAAAGGAAUUGACGGGGACCCGCACAAGCGGUGGAUGAUGUGGAUUAAUUCGAUGCAACGCGAAAAACCUUACCUACCCUUGACAUGUCAGGAACUUUCCAGAGAUGGAUUGGUGCCCGAAAGGGAGCCUGAACACAGGUGCUGCAUGGCUGUCGUCAGCUCGUGUCGUGAGAUGUUGGGUUAAGUCCCGCAACGAGCGCAACCCUUGUCGUUAAUUGCCAUCAUUUAGUUGGGCACUUUAACGAGACUGCCGGUGACAAACCGGAGGAAGGUGGGGAUGACGUCAAGUCCUCAUGGCCCUUAUGGGUAGGGCUUCACACGUCAUACAAUGGUCGGUACAAAGGGUCGCCAACCCGCGAGGGGGAGCCAAUCCCAUAAAGCCGAUCGUAGUCCGGAUUGUAGGCUGCAACUCGCCUGCAUGAAGUCGGAAUCGCUAGUAAUCGUGGAUCAGCAUGUCACGGUGAAUACGUUCCCGGGUCUUGUACACACCGCCCGUC
rnacentral:rRNA from 1 species